rnacentral:rRNA from 1 species
UCCGGGAAUUAUUGGGCGUAAAGAGCUCGUAGGCGGUUUGUCGCGUCUGCCGUGAAAGUCCGGGGCUUAACUCCGGGAUCUGCGGUGGGUACGGGCAGACUUGAGUGAUGUAGGGGAGACUGGAAUUCCUGGUGUAGCGGUGAAAUGCGCAGAUAUCAGGAGGAACACCGAUGGCGAAGGCAGGUCUCUGGGCAUUAACUGACGCUGAGGAGCGAAAGCAUGGGGAGCGAACAGGAUUAGAUACCUGGUAGUCCAUGCCGUAAACGUUGGGCACUAGGUGUGGGGGACAUUCCACGUUUUCCGCGCCGUAGCUAACGCAUUAAGUGCCCCGCCUGGGGAGUACGGCCGCAAGGCUAAAACUCAAAGGAAUUGACGGGGGCCCGCACAAGCGGCGGAGCAUGCGGAUUAAUUCGAUGCAACGCGAAGAACCUUACCAAGGCUUGACAUGAACCGGAACGGCGCAGAGAUGUGUCGGCCACUUGUGGCCGGUUUACAGGUGGUGCAUGGUUGUCGUCAGCUCGUGUCGUGAGAUGUUGGGUUAAGUCCCGCAACGAGCGCAACCCUCGUUCCAUGUUGCCAGCGGGUUAUGCCGGGGACUCAUGGGAGACUGCCGGGGUCAACUCGGAGGAAGGUGGGGACGACGUCAAAUCAUCAUGCCCCUUAUGUCUUGGGCUUCACGCAUGCUACAAUGGCCGGUACAAAGGGUUGCGAUGCUGUGAGGUGGAGCUAAUCCCAAAAAGCCGGUCUCAGUUCGGAUUGAGGUAUGCAACUCGACCUCAUGAAGUGGGAGUCGCUAGUAAUCGCAGAUCAGCAUUGCU